AAGUCGUAACAAGGUCUCCGUAGGUGAACCUGCGGAGGGAUCAUUACUGAGUGAGGGCCCCCGGCCCGACCUCCAACCCUUUGUGAAUUGACCCUGUUGCCUCGGGGAUGCCGGCGCUCUCGGGCGCCGGGCCCCCGGUGGACCCCAUAACUUUGGCGUCUUUGCGUCCGAGUCUUAUGAUGAAUCAAUCAAAA
rnacentral:misc_RNA from 1 species